rnacentral:rRNA from 1 species
UACGGGGGGGGCAAGCGUUGUCCGGAAUUACUGGGCGUAAAGAGCUCGUAGGUGGUUUGUCGCGUUGUUCGUGAAAACCGGGGGCUUAACCCUCGGCGUGCGGGCGAUACGGGCAGACUUGAGUACUGCAGGGGAGACUGGAAUUCCUGGUGUAGCGGUGGAAUGCGCAGAUAUCAGGAGGAACACCGGUGGCGAAGGCGGGUCUCUGGGCAGUAACUGACGCUGAGGAGCGAAAGCGUGGGGAGCGAACAGG